AAGGACAAUACACCCGAGUUUUUUGUUCCAGAAAAAAAAAAUAAUAGUCUUAUCCUUCUGAUGGUCGGGGGUUGGGUCGCUGAAUAUGCUUUUCACUAUGCUAAAGCUAAGGGUAGAGAUAGAGUAUCUGCUAUACACAAAGCUAACAUUAUGCAGAAUACAGUGUUGUUGGGAGGUUGCUGAGAAGUACCCUGAUAUAAAAUAUGAGAAAGUUAUCAUUGACAAUUGUUGUAUGAUGGUACAUCCUUUAUCUAAAUAAGAAUAUUACUAGAGUCAUUAUUUUUUAUUUUUUUUUUGUAUAUGUAGCUGGUAAAGAAUCCAUCACUAUUUGAUGUGUUAGUGAUGCCUAACCUUUAUUGUAACCUUUGUGCUAGAUUGAUUAAAGGAUUAAUGUACUUUGUUC
rnacentral:lncRNA from 1 species